rnacentral:rRNA from 1 species
ACUCAAAUGAAUAGACGGGGACUUGCACAAGCAGUGGAUUAUGUGGUUUAAUUCGAUGAUAAACGAAAAACCUUACCAAGGUUGGAAAUUUAACUGAAGUACAGCAGAAACGUUGUACGUCUCACAAGGACAGUUAGACAGGUGAUGCAUGGCCGUCGUCAGUUCGUGAUUUGAAUUGUUCCCUUAAGUGGGGUAACGAACGCAACCCUCGUUGUCUGUUAUACGUAUCAGGCGAGACUGCCCAGCUUUUAGUUUUUAAAUUUAAAAUUUGAAAAUUGGAAGCUGGGAGGAAGGCGAGGAUGACGCCAGGUCAGCAUGUCCCUUUGAUACCUUGGGCUACACACAUAAUACAAUGGCGACUACAACGAGUUGCGACGGGGUAACCCUGAGCUAAUCUUAAUAAAAGUCGCCCCAGUUCAGAUUGGGGGCUGAAACUCGACCCCAUGAAGUUGGAAUUGCUAGUAAUCGCGGGUCAGCUAUACCGCGGUGAAUACGUUCUCAAGUCUUGUACACACCGCCCGU